UCCACGCAGUAAACGAUGAUUACUAGCUGUUUGCGAUACACAGUAAGCGGCACAGCGAAAGCGUUAAGUAAUCCACCUGGGGAGUACGCCGGCAACGGUGAAACUCAAAGGAAUUGACGGGGGCCCGCACAAGCGGAGGAACAUGUGGUUUAAUUCGAUGAUACGCGAGGAACCUUACCCGGGUUUGAACGUAGGGAGACAGGGGUGGAAACAUCCUUUCAGCAAUGACUGCCUACGAGGUGCUGCAUGGUUGUCGUCAGCUCGUGCCGUGAGGUGUCGGCUUAAGUGCCAUAACGAGCGCAACCCUUAUUUCCAGUUACUAACAGGUGAAGCUGAGGACUCUGGAGAGACUGCCAGCGUAAGCUGUGAGGAAGGUGGGGAUGACGUCAAAUCAGCACGGCCCUUACAUC
rnacentral:rRNA from 1 species